rnacentral:rRNA from 1 species
AUGUCGGGCCGCGGCAAGGGAGGGAAGGGGCUGGGCAAGGGCGGCGCCAAGCGCCACCGGAAGGUGCUCCGGGACAACAUCCAGGGCAUCACCAAGCCGGCCAUCCGGCGGCUGGCCCGCCGUGGCGGCGUGAAGCGCAUCUCGGGGCUCAUCUACGAGGAGACCCGCGGCGUGCUCAAGAUCUUCCUCGAGAACGUCAUCCGCGACGCCGUCACCUACACCGAGCACGCCCGCCGCAAGACCGUCACCGCCAUGGACGUCGUCUACGCGCUCAAGCGCCAGGGACGCACCCUCUACGGAUUCGGCGGCUAG